rnacentral:lncRNA from 1 species
UCACCUUACCAUGAAUUUGUAAUUGCAUAAGCCAUGGCAUUGCGCCUUGCCCUAUAUUCAACUUGGUCAAUCCUUGUAACUCUAAAAGUUGAAGUACUUUGAGUUGAGGAAAUCCAUUUGCAGAUACAUGCAUUUUCUUUCCAAGAUAUGACUUAGCCCUUAAUCUGAGAGUCAACAAUUUUGGCAGCUUCUCCAAUAUAGGCAUAGGAUCACAACCUAGCCUAGAUGCUUCCAAUGUCAAUUGUGUAAGAUUUGGUGAGAAUUCAACGGUUUCAGGCAAUUUUUGCAUGUGUCCCUUUAUGUCCAACUUAGAGAGAUGGAGGCAAGAGUUUAUGGCAAAAGGUGGAAUGUUGGACUCAUCUGAUGCCUUAAGGUACAAGGAUUUAAGACUAGGUAGCUUGGCAAUGGAGUUCUGAAAACACAGCCCCUUCUACCUCACACCUUUCUUCUAAUUUCAAUUUCUCAAGACAAGUUAAGUUGCUUGAAUCAUUCUUGAUCCAUUGGUUGGAGGUUAUGCCUAAUAGAAUUUGAAGAUCUUGCAAUGUAUCAAUUUGUAGUGGAACAUCUUCCUUUUGACCCUCAAUAUAAAGAUAUCUCAUGUUUUUAAUCUUCAGUAUCACAUUUGGCACUUGUCUAAGAUUAUUUAUCUCCAAAGACUACAAACUCCUUAGGUUGCCUAUAGAUGGUGGAAGCAUUUUUAAACCAUAAUGCAUUAAUCUCAAGUACCUUAAAUGAAUUAGUGUCCCAACUAUACUAGGUAGGCUUUCAAUUUCCCAACCUUCCAAAUCUAGCACCCUAAGUACUUUGAAGCAUCUGCCAAAAUGUACUUGCAAAAAUUAUUACAAAAAAUGAAAAAAUGUGUGAAUGACUUCAAUUUUUGAAGCAUGUCCAAAAACAAUUAUUUGCCAUUAUUUGAAACUACUCAUUCAUGACGAACAAAAUUUAUAUCUGUAUUGGGAAUAGUAAUUGAUUUUCAUAUGCCCUAUACUAAAAUUUAUAAGCAAUAUCGCCAGAAAAUUAUUUAAAUUGGCACCACCAUGGUUAUUUAGAUCCCAAACCUACCAAUUUUUUUUAAAUGUAUAUAUAUAUAUAUUAUUCAAAAUUAUUAUUUAAAAAAUAAAUAUAAAAAUAGUCUUUUUAUCAUUUUUUUUUUUUUUGCAUCAAAUUUGUUUCUUUAAAACAAAUUUACUUUUUAUAUUGAUCUUGUAUUUUGAAAAAAUGAAAAAUCACUUUUACAUUAAAGUUGUUUUUUAAAAAUUUAAGUUCUUUUUUUUUACAUUGAAAAGUUUUAUACAAGAUAAGUUCACUUCUUUACUGCUGAACUUGCAUUUUAUUUUUUAUUUUUUGAAAGACAGUUCUAUUAAUGGGUUGAUUUUUAAAAAAAUUAUAUCACCUAGUGCAAAAAGCCCAAACCUACCACUUUUAAACCAAUAAGAAUAACACUUUUGCAGGCCAUGCAUAGCCAUCAAAUACAUCAUCCUAAUUGUCAGUUAAUAUACAUAUAAUUAUACAAACAAACAUCUAAUAAUCUGGUUCAACAAAUUUAAAAGCACACUGGUCUUAGUUUAAUUUAGAUACAAUAUAAAUAUUGUCCAAGCUUAGCAUGACCAUUAUUGAAAGUAGACAUUGCUAACUAUAAUACAUGAGAUUUUAAUUGCAUGGCCUUAUGUUUCCUUUCAAUGACUCCAGCAUGAAUGUAGAAGCUCCUGGCAAUUCUGCUGCAGCAUAAUCUUCAGGUUAUCGGACAUGUUUGGCAUGCUCAGAUUAUCUGUUUGCAAAGACCAAACAUACAUUAAUGAUAAUAGACAAAAAGAGAGCCAACAAGUUUUAGCAUUUCACUAGUCAUACAUGUUGUCAUUUUGGGCAUGAGGAUUUCUUCAAUAUAUAAGAAAGGUGGCUAAUUCUUCAACUGCUUGCCUAGAGCUUUCUGGUGUUUGACCUGUUGCAACACACGUCUGAGUAUCACAUGGCCAAAUUUUAGGUACCUAAACUAAACAUGAAUAUAUGUACAAAGUUGUAGCAAGGACCUCAACAUUAAUUCAUAUAUAUAUAAUGAAAAAAAAAUUGCCAAACUGGCAAUUUUCAUUUUUCUAUUGUUUUAUGUAUUUAGAGUAAAAUUGUAAGAAGUAAUAUAUGAUUGUUAAGAAACCAAAAACUAUAGGAGUAAUUAAUUUCUCUUCAAUAAAUAGAUGAAGUUAUUUAAUUUGGCAAAAAAAAAAAUUGUUUUGUUGAAUCUAAUAAUAGGUUCUGAAGUGGGGUUCAUUAGCUAAAGAAAAAUUCCAGUGAAAAGAUCUUGGGCUUCUCUCUGCCAUCAAUAAUUGUUAUGCAAAAGAACAAGGAAUAAUACUUGGCCAUGAAUUACUAGGCUGGCUUGGUAGAAAUCACAUCCAAGUAAAGGAACAAAAACAUGCAUUUAUGUAUUCACCGCACCAAUCGCCUAGGGUAAAAGUGAAUUCUAGGCCUUCAGGCUUACCUUUUUUACGGUACAAGUGAAAUCCAAUCUCAUCAUUUAUAUUGAUCCUGAAAUGAAUAGAAAAAUCAAACAAAGCAUGUUAGUGGAAUAAAAAAAAAAACAAUAAAAAGAAAAAGAAAAUCGUCCUUACAAUGUUGAAGAGAUAUAAUUUAUGUUCUUUUAACUUUCCACUGUAUAUUUAAAAUUAAAGUUCAAAUUAGUUCGAAAGUAAUGGAGUUGAGUAACCAUUAAUGUUACUACUAUUUUCCUAAUAUGGAUUGAAUAUAGAAAAAUAUUUGCAUUUGUUUUGUUUUUUCUUUUUCAAAUAUAUAUUGGUUCUAUACAUGCAUCUAAAACCUAUCAAAUGUGCAAAAGUGAUUAAAUUGAAAAACAUGUGAGAGAAAUAACAAUGCAUAGGGCUCAACGUGUCUACAAAGACAGGUGGAGUAUGGUCAUCAGGCCACUAGAUGGAUUCGUUUGAUAAAAGAAAAGGUUGCUUUCCAAAUUUAUGGAAAGAGAAAAUGUAGAAUCCUAACAUGUAUUUCAUUUUCAAGUAUGUUAUAAAUUAAAUUAAACAACAUUAAAAAAAAUGUAGCAAAAGUAAUUAUAUUGGUCUUAUAAGUUAAUUCAAGAAGUAAGUGACAAGUAGUAAAAAUUGGUAGUUCAAGGGAUCUAGAGUAAAUAGAUUAAUGUAGGUACCAUGUAAAAUCCCAAGGAAGUAGUUUGCCAGUGGAGAUAGCUAACCAGAUUUUGUGAGCCAAUUUCAUACUCAAUCAUCAAAAAUGAUAUUUAGAUCCACUAGAUUUAGGAGUCCACUAAAUCGUAAGAUUUUCACUCGUUGAUGAAUUUCUAAUUGCAUAAGCCAUGACAUUGCAUUUUGCCCUAUAUUCAACUUGGUCAAUCUUGUUAACUCUGAAAGUUGAAGUACUUUGAGUUGAGGAAACCCAUUUGCAAACACUUCCAUUUUCUUUCCAAGGUAUGAGUUUAUCCUUAAUCUAAGAAUCAACAAGUUUGGCUGCUUCUCUAAAACAGGCAUAGGAUCACAAUCUAGCCUAGAUGCUUCCAAUGUCAAUUGUGUGAGACUUGGUGAGAAUUCAACAGUUUCAAGCAAUUUUUGCAUGUGUCUCUUUAUGUCCAACUUAGAGAGAUGGAGGCAAGAGUUCAUGGCAAGGGAUGGAACGUAGGACUCAUCUGAUGCCUUGAGGUACAAGGAUUUAAGACUACAUAACUUGGCAAUGGAGUUUGAAAACUUAACCCCUUCUACCUCACACUUUCCUUAUAAUUUCAAUCUCUCAAGACAAGUUAACUUGCUUGAAUUAUUCUGGAUCCAUUGGUUGAAGGUUAUGCCUGAUAGAAUUUGAAGAUUUUGCAACGUAUCAAUUUGCAAUGGAACAUCUUCCUCUUGCCCCUCAAUGUAAAGAUGUCUCAUGUUUUUAAUCUUCCAUAUCACAUUUAGCACUUGUUUAAGAUUGUUUAUAUCCAAAGUCUGCAAACUCCUUAGGUUACCUAUAAAUGGUUGGAAGCCUUUUUAGACCAAUAUGCCUUAAUCCCAGGUACCUUAAAUGAAACAGUUCCCCAAUUAUACUUGGUAGGCAUUCAAUUUCUAAACCUUCCAAAUCUAACACUCUAAGCACUUUGCAGCAUUUGGCAAUGAAAUCUUCCAUAUCUCAUGUUUUUAAUCUUCCAAAUCAGUUCCUCUUUCCAUGUAAAGAUAUCUCAUGUUUUUUAUCUUCCAUAUCACAUUUGGCACUUGUUUAAGAUUGUUUAUAUCCAAAGUCUGCAAACUCCUUAGGUUGCCUAUAAAUGGUGGAAGCAUUUUUAGACCAGUAUGCCUUAAUCCCAGGUACCUUAAAUGAAUUAAUUUCCCAAUUAUAGUUGGCAGGCAUUCAAUUUCUAAACCUUCCAAAUCCAACACUCUAAGCACUUUGAAGCAUUUGGCAAUGAAAUCUAGUUGCGAUGCUUUACAAUUUUUCCCCAAAUUGAAAAAUAAGAGAGAGCAAAGAUAUGGAGUUAAAUUUUCAAUGGAAGCAUACCUCUCAAUGUCAGAAUAAAUACUUCGUCAACGGGAUUUAGAUGAAAAGAGAGAUAAACUUAUGGGAUUUAGAUCCAAAGAAAGAUAAACUGGUGGAGGAGAAUAGAGGAUCUAUGAUGAAGUUUUGCUCUUUUGCCUUUUUAAUGGCCAACUCUCAUACAAGGUCAUGAACCUGACAUUCCGUGACCCUUGCAUUAACACUCUUUCUCACUACUUGAAUCAAAUUUCUAUUGAUUAACUCAUUCAAGUAAACCUCAGCCAUGUCUUUCAUUCUUCGGUCAUCUUGUUAUGGCACAAAACCCUCAACAGUCCAUAAAAAGAGCAGUUUUCUGGAGGAGAUCACAUAAUCUUCAGGGAAGAGGCUUAAAUGAAGAAAGCACGGUUUCAAGUAAUGGGGCAAGUCGAUGUAGCUGAGGUUUAGCAUUGCCAUUACUCCCAUUUGGCCUUCUUUAGCAAGGUAUGCACUAAUGUUAUCGUGCACCUACUUCCAUUCUGUAUGUGACAUAUUUCUUUACAGCAAACCCCCCAAUACAACGAUGGACAAGCAGAGCUCUCUGUUCAGUGAAUGGAGUUCAUGUUCUGGAUAGAAUGGGCAAUUCACUUUUUUGAAGAGAUAAAUUCACUUUUUUACAUUGAAAAGUUUUAUACUAAACUCAUUUUCCAAAGGUUAAGUCCACUUCUUUACCGGUGAACUUGUAUUUUUCAUUUUUAUACUAAUUACUUUUUUUAGAAGACAAAUUCUAUUAAUGGAUUGAUUUUUUUAAAAAUAAUAUCACCCUGCAAAAAGCCCAAACCUACCACUUUCAAACCAAUAACAAUAACACUUUUGCAUGCCAAGCAAAGCCUUCAAAUACAUCAUCCUAAUUGUCACUUAAUACACAUAUAAUUGUACAAACAAACAUCUAAUAAUUUGAUUCAACAAACUUAUAAGCACAUUGGUUUUAGUUUAGAUACAAUAUAAAUAUGUUCAACCUUGGUAUGACCAUCACUGAAAGUAGACAUUGCUAACUAUAAUACAUGAGAUUUUAAUAGCAUGGCAUUAUGUUUCCUUUCAAUCACUCCAUUAUGGAAUCAAGCAUGAGGUAGAAGCCCCUGGCAAAUCUACGGCAGUAUAAUCUUUCGGUCAUCGAAUCUGUUUGCAAAGAUCAAACAUACAUUAUAAACAAUGACAAUAGACAAAAAAAAAAAAAAAAAAUAGCCAAAAAGUUUUAACCUUUCACUUGUCAUACAUGUAAUUUCGGUCAAGAAGACUUCUUAGAAUGUUGAGAAAGUUGGCUAAUAUUUCAACUGCUUUCCUAGAGCUUUCUGCUGUUUGACUUGUUGCAACACAAAUCUGAGUAUCACAUGGCCAACUUUUAGGUACCUAAACUAAACAUGCAUAUAUGUACAAAGUUGUAGCAAGGAUCUCAGCAUUAGUUCAUAUAUAAUGAAAAAAAUUUCACCAGACUGGCAAUUUCAUUUUUCAAUUGGUUUAUGCGUUUAGAGUAAAAUCAUAAGAAGUAAUAUAGAUUUGUUAAGAAACUGAAAACUAUAGAAGUAAUUGAUUUCUCUUCAAUAAAAGCUGAAGUUAUUUAAUUUGACAAAAAAAAAAACUUGUUUUGUUGAAUCUAAUAAUAGGUUCUGAAGUGGGAUUCAUUAGCUAAAUAGAAAUUUCAGUGAAAAGAUCUUGGCUUCUCUCUGGCGUCACUAAUUGUUAUGCAGAAGAAUAAGGAAUAAUACUUGGCCAUGAAUUACUAGGCUGGCUUGGUAGAAAUCACAUUCAAGUAAAGGAACAAAACAUGCAUUUAUACACCCCAACAAUAAUCCAGGGUAAAAGUGAAUUCCAAACUUCCAGGCAUACCUUUUUCGCGGUAAAAUUGACCUCCAAUCUCACCAUUUAUAAAGAUUCUGAAAUGAAUAGAAAAAUCAAACAAAGCAUGUUAGCGGAAUAAAAAGAACAAUAAAAAAAUUUAAAAAAAAAAUCAUCCUUACAAUGUUGAAGAGAGAUAAUUUGAGUUGUUUUAACUUUCCACUGUAUAUUUAAAAUUAAAGUUCUAGUUUGUUCAAAAGCAAUGGAGUUGGGUAACCAUUUAAUGGUACUGCUAUUAUCCUAGUAUGAAUUGAAUAUAUAUAGAAAAAUAUUUGCAUCUGUUUUAUUUUUUUUUCAAAUAUAUAAUUGUUCUGCACAUGCAUUUAAAACCUAUCAAAUGUGCAAAAGUGAUGAAAUUGAAAAACAUGUGAGAAAUAGCGAUGCAUAGGGCUCAAUGUGUCUACAAAGAAAGAUGAAGUAUGGUCAUCAGGCCACUAGAUGGAUUUGUUUUAAUAGAAGAAAAGGUUACUUUCCAAAUUUAUAAAAAGAGAAAAUACAGAAUCCUAACAUGUAUUUCAUUUUCAAGUACGCUAUAAAUUAAAUAAAAUAAUAUUAAAAAUAUAGAAAGAGUAAUUAUAUUGGUCUUAUAAGUUAAUUCAAGAAGUGACGAGUAGUAAAAAUUGAUAGUUCAAGGGAUCUAAGUAGAUAGAUGAAUUUAGGUACCUUCUUUGAUGCCAAGGAUGAGGUGCCAAUCUGGCCAGAAGCCAUACAUCAUAAUAGGAAAUGGUUGACCUAUAAUGUUUAGCUCCACUAGCUUUAGAAGCCCAAUAAAUCCUAAGAUAUUCACUCGUUUAUGAAUUUGCAAUUGCUUAAGCCAUGGCAUUGCGCCUUUCCCUAUAUUCAACUCAGUCAAUCCUUGUAACUCUGAAAGUUGAAGUACUUUGAGUUGAGGAAACCCAUUUGCAGACACUUGCAUUUUCAUUCCAAGGUGUGCGUUUGCCCUUAAUCUAAGAAUCAACAAUUUUGGUUGCUUCUCUAAAACAGGCAUAGGAUCACAACCUAGCCUAGAUGCUUCCAAUGUCAAUUGUGUAAGAUUUGGUGAGAAUUCAACGGUUUCAAGCAAUUUUUGCAUGUGUCCCUUUAUGUCCAACUUAGAAAGAUGGAGGCAAGAGUUUAUGGCAAGGGGUGGAAUGCUCAACUCAUCUGAUGCCUUAAGGUACAAGGAUUUAAGACUAGGUAGCUUGGAAAUGGAGUUUGAAAACACAGCCCCUUCUACCUCACACUUUCCUUCUAAUUUCAAUUUCUCAAGACAAGUUAAGUUGCUUGAAUCGUUCUUGAUCCAUUGGUUGAAGGUUAUGCCUGAUAGAAUUUGAAGAUUUUGCAACGUAUGAAUUUGCAGUGGAACAUCUUCCUCUUGCCCCUCCAUGUAAAGAUAUCUCAUGUUCUUAAUCUUCCGUAUCACAUUUGACACUUGUCUAAGAUUGUUUAUCUCCAAAGUCUGAAAACUCCUUAGGUUGCCUAUAGAUGGUGGAAGCAUUUUUAGACCAGUAUGCCUUAAUCCCAAGUACCUUAAAUGAAUCAGUUCCCCAAUCAUACUAGGUAGGCAUUCAAUUUUUAAACCUUCCAAAUCUAACACUCUAAGCACUUUGAAGCAUUUGGCAAUGAAAUCUAGUUGUGAUGCUCUACAAUUUUUCCCCAAAUUGAAAAAUAA